rnacentral:rRNA from 1 species
CCUACGGGAGGCAGCAGUGGGGAAUUUUGGACAAUGGGCGAAAGCCUGAUCCAGCCAUUCCGCGUGAGUGAAGAAGGCCUUCGGGUUGUAAAGCUCUUUCGCAAGGGAAGAAAACUUAGAUACUAAUAUUAUCUGAGGUUGACGGUACCUUGAUAAGAAGCACCGGCUAGCUACGUGCCAGCAGCCGCGGUAAUACGUAGGGUGCGAGCGUUAAUCGGAAUUACUGGGCGUAAAGCGUGCGCAGGCGGUUUUGUAAGUCAGAUGUGAAAUCCCCGAGCUCAACUUGGGAACUGCGUUUGAAACUACAAGACUAGAAUAUGUCAGAGGGGGGUAGAAUUCCACGUGUAGCAGUGAAAUGCGUAGAGAUGUGGAGGAAUACCAAUGGCGAAGGCAGCCCCCUGGGAUAAUAUUGACGCUCAUGCACGAAAGCGUGGGGAGCAAACAGGAUUAGAUACCCUGGUAGUCCACGCCCUAAACGAUGUCUACUAGUUGUUGGUGGAGUAAAAUCCAUGAGUAACGCAGCUAACGCGUGAAGUAGACCGCCUGGGGAGUCGGUCGCAAGNUUAAAACUCAAAGGAUUGACGGNUGAGAGNGCGACGGCGACGACGAGGGAGGAGG